UACAGAGGGGGCAAGCGUUGUUCGGAAUUACUGGGCGUAAAGGGCGCGUAGGCGGCCUUCUAAGUCGAACGUGAAAUCCCCGGGCUCAACCCGGGAACUGCGUCCGAUACUGGAAGGCUUGAAUCCGGGAGAGGGAUGUGGAAUUCCAGGUGUAGCGGUGAAAUGCGUAGAUAUCUGGAGGAACACCGGUGGCGAAGGCGACUACCUGGCCCACUCUUGACGCUGAGGCGCGAAAGCUAGGGGAGCAAACGGG
rnacentral:rRNA from 1 species